CUUCCCAGGCGGAGUACUUAAUGCGUUAGCUGCGGCACCGAGGGGGGUAACCCCCGACACCUAGUACUCAUCGUUUACGGCCAGGAUUACCGGGGUAUCUAAUCCCGUUCACUCCCCUGGCUUUCGCGCCUCAGCGUCAGACACAGUCCAGAAAGUCGCCUUCGCCACUGGUGUUCCUCCUAAUAUCUACGCAUUUCACCGCUACACUAGGAAUUCCACUUUCCUCUCCUGCACUCAAGAAAUGUAGUUUCCAUCCCAUCACGGGGUUGAGCCCCGAACUUUUAAGACAGACUUACAUUCCCGCCUGCGCGCGCUUUACGCCCAAUAAUUCCGGACAACGCUUGCCACCUACGUAUUACCGCGGCUGCUGGCACGUAGUUAGCCGUGGCUUCCUCCUCAGGUACCGUCAUUACUUAACAUUAUUCACAUUAAGCACAUUCGUCCCUGAAGACAGAGCUUUACGAUCCGAAAACCUUCUUCACUCACGCGGCGUUGCUCCGUCAGACUUUCGU
rnacentral:rRNA from 1 species